UGUGGCAGCAGCAGACAUUGCCCAACAAACAUAUACCACGGCAUAAAGUCAGGAUUUUCAGAACCUUGGGGAUCUCAAGGCUCUGUGCCCGCUCCGUGGAUGCCAACGUUUGCGGGGGCUCUGUCUCUGUUCCACUACACCGCUGCCUCCAGGUCUGCUUCUUCCCUCCCACUGCAUUCCCGCCUCCUCUGGUGCCCCCCUCUGAGAGUCAUGUGGCUAAUUUUAAACCGUAAUCUGAAGCCCAGAACCAGGAAAGUCCCCUGGUCUCAGGGUGGCCACAGCUAAAGGACACUCGGGAAAUAUGACAAAAGGCUUUGGAGAAACAAGGCGAACAGAAAGUUUUGCUCCUGUUGCCCAGGCUGGAGUGCAAUGGCACGAUCUCGGCUCACCGCAACCUCUGCUUCCCAGGAUCAAGUGAUUCUCCUGCCUCAGCCUCCCGAGUAUCUGGGAUUACAGGGUUCAAACCAAGGCAGCCAGGCUCUGGAGGGCACACUCCUUGCCAGGACACGGCAUGUUAGCAGGGAUGAAGUUUUGCUUUUGAUGCCCAGGCUGGAGUGCAAUGGCGAAAUCUCAACUCACUGCAACCUCUGCCUCCCCGGUUCAAGCGAUUCUCCUGCCUCAGCCUCCCAAGCAGCUGGGAUUACAGGCACCCACCUAAUUUUUUUGUAUUCUUAGUAGAGACAGGGGUUUCACCCUGUUGGCCAGGCUGGUCUUGAACUUCUGACCUCAGGUGAACCACCUGCCUCAGCCUCCCAUAGUGCUGGAAUUACAGGCACGAGCCACUGUGCCCGGGCCACUAAAUCCUAAUAAAAAGUGAUUUGGGUUUUAACAGCAACCAAAUCAUCUUCUUCUGAGGGAGAGGAGUCAGGAGUCAGGAGUCAUGGAAGGGGACCCACCAAGGUGUCAUUUGGACCCCAGGCUGGGCCUUCCAGUCACCAGCCAUGAGCCCCGCAGUGAAGUAUACAUUUUCUGGCUUGGGUUCUUCAUCUGUAUAUGGAAGGUGUACAAGGAUAGGUGAUUUCAGAGAGUCGUUUUAGUGUUACUACUUGCUCUUUUUCUUUUUUUAGAAGAAUGAUGUGCUUUCUGAAGUUGCAUUUUUUUAAUGACAGCUUUAUUGAGAUGUAUUUCUAAACACAAUUUACCCAUUCAGAGUGUGGAAUUUCAUGGUUUUAAUAUAUCUGCUGAGCUGUGCAGCCGUCACUAUGAUUGCUGUCAGAGCAGCUUCAUCACCUCAGAAACAAAUCCCACCCGAUUAGCAGUCACCCUCUCUUUCGCCCCAAGUCCUCCAGUUCCAGGCAACCAUAAAUCUACUUUCUGUCUCUGGAUUGGCCUACUCUGGUGGCACUGUCUCAUAGACACAGAAACUCACCAUCGGCCAAGUGAGGUGGCUCAAGCCUAUAAUUCCAGCACUUUGGGAGGCCAAGGCUGGCGAAUCACUUGAGGUCAGGAGUUCAAGACAAGCCUGGCCAACAUGGCAAUAACCUUGUCUCUAUUAAAAAUACAAAAAUUAGCCAGGUGUGGUGGUGCACACCUGUGAUCCCAGCUACUUUGGAGGCUGGGGCAGGAGAAUUGCUUGAACCCAUGAGGCCAAGGUUUUAGUGAGCCGAGACUGCACCACUGCCCUCCAGCCUGGGCAACCGAGCAAGACCCUGUCUCAAAAAAGAAUAAAAAAAAAGAAAGAAACACACUAUCACCAGAAUAGGCAAGUAUACAUUACAUUUUUAACUCACAAGAAGUUCGGGUGAAAUGAUGGUGUGCCCUGCAAAUGUCCCAGUUUUUCCUGCACUUUUUUUUUCGAUCUGAAGUCCUGCUUUGCUUGAGAAGAGUGGGAGACACUCUUCUGGACUCCACUGAGAGCUGAGAGCAGACAAGAAGGGUUCAAUGCAAAUAAAGCACAGAUUCUGGAUGAGAUGUGAAUGCUUGCAAGGGCCUGUUCAGGAUUUGGGUAGCCCAACUUUUUACGGGAGUUUUGAAAAGCUGCUGAAAUUUGUUUUAUUUUUUCAUGAAGUGCUGCAGAUGGUAAACUUGGAUGAUUAAGAAUGAAAUAUCCCAGGCCAGGCAUGGGGGCUCACGCCUAUAAUCCCAGCACUUUGGGAGGUCGAGGCAAGUGGAUCAUGAGGUCAGGAGUUUGAGACCAGCCUGGCCAACAUGGUGAAACCCUGUCUCUACUAAAAAUACAGAAAUCAGCUGGGCAUAGUGGCAGGGCCAGUAAUCCCAGCUACUCAGGAGGCUGAGGCAGGAGAGAAUCACUUGAAACAGGAAAGGGAAGGUUGAAGUGAGCCAAGAUCAAACUACUGCACCAGCCUGGGUGAAACAGUGAAACUCCAUCUCAGAAAGAAAAGAAAAGAAAAAAAAAAAGAAUGAAAUAGCCCAGAUCAUGUCACAAAAGAAGGAUACUGAAGACUGGAUUCAGAGGCUCACACCUGUAAUCCUAGCAAUUUGGGAGGCCAAGGCAGGUAGAUUGCUUGAGUCCACGAGUUCCAGACCAGCCUGGGCAACAUGGCAAAACCCCGUAUCUACAAAAAAUAAAAAAAUUAGCCAGGCAUGGCGGUGCAUGUCUGUAGUACCAGCUACAUGAAAGGCUGAAGUGGGAGGAUGGUUUAAGGGAGGCAGAGGUUACAGUAAGCUGGAUUGCAUCACUGUACUCCAGCCUGGGUGACUGAGCCAGACCCUGUCUCAAAAAAAAAAAAAAAAAGUUGGCGGGGGAGGGUGCUGAAACAGCAAUAACUAUUUAAGGCCUAAACUUUGGGUGAAUCUAAGACCCAAACAAUGGGCUCCAUGUCAAUAUCACCUCCUUUGUAUAAAGAUUCCCCAAUAAAAAUAUAAACAUUUGGCUGGGCACGGUGGCUCACGCCUGUAAUUCCAGCACUUUGGGAGGCUGAGGCAGGCAGAUCACGAAGUCAAGAAAUCAAGGCCAUCUUGGCCAACAUGGUGAAAUCCCAUCUCUACUAAAAAUACAAAAAAAUUAGCUGGGCAUGGUGGGACAUGCCUGUAGUACUGCUACUCAGGAGGCUGAGACAGGAGGAUCGCUUGAAUACAGAGAGCACUACUGCACUCCAGCCUGCUGACAGAGCGAGACUCUUUCUCAAAAAACAAAAACAAAAACCAAAUAUAAACAUUCACAACCAUCCUGGGAUCUCUAUGGAAGAUUGAUGUGGUAUAACACUCGGGAGCUUACAGAUAUGUGCCUGGGUUACCUACAUUCUUCCAAUACCUACUAUAGUCUGUACCCUAGGUAUUCAAAGAAGAAUGUUCUUUUGCUAGGAUACUGCAUCUUUCUCUGUAAAUUCAUCUUAGUGCUCUGGGGUGGUUGCCAGGGAGAAUACUAACAGAAGUUUGCUUGUUUGGUGGCUGGGGAAGUAAUAUUACCAGUAAUUACUAGUAAGUGAUUCCAGGUAUUGCAUGCAGACUACAUAUUUUAUAUGCAUGUAUGGGGUUUUAUUGUUUACAAAAUAUUUUCAUGUAUUUGACCUCAUUUGAUCCUUAUGUGGUAAGGAUCAAAUGAGGUCAAAUACAUGGAAAUAUUGUAUUUCAUGAAUCAGCCAGGUAGGGUAUCUAUUUCCUGGAAUCAGAAUGCUUAGGUUUGACUUCUGAGUUACCAUUUACUAGCUAUGUGUUCUUGGGCAAAUUACUUCAACUUUUUUUUUUUUUUUUUAGACAAGUCUUGCUCUGUCACCCAGGCUGGAGUGCAGUGGCGUGAUCUUGGCUCCCAAUAUCAGGUU